rnacentral:rRNA from 1 species
UACGUAGGGUGCAAGCGUUAAUCGGAAUUACUGGGCGUAAAGCGUGCGCAGGCGGUUUUGUAAGACUGUCGUGAAAUCCCCGGGCUCAACCUGGGAAUGGCGAUGGUGACUGCAAGGCUAGAGUUUGGCAGAGGGGGGUAGAAUUCCACGUGUAGCAGUGAAAUGCGUAGAUAUGUGGAGGAACACCGAGGGCGAAGGCAGCACCCUGGGUCAAAACUGACGCUAAUGCACGAAAGCGUGGGGAGCAAACAGG